UCUUGACUGGUAUAUCGGUUAGUACACGCGCUUGUCAUAACAUAGCUGCGACGAUCGAGAUCACUUCCGCGCGAAAGCUGGGUUCGACUCCCAGGUCGAGUU